GGCGCGGGGUCUGUCGGGUAUCGGCGGCGGCGGCGGCGCUUUGCGGCUGGUCGUGCGAGCUGGGCGCGGGCGGGCGGGCGCGGCGGCCGUGGCGCGCGCAGGUGAUUGACUGCUCUCCUGUCUGAGGGCAGCGCUGGGUUCUUUCGGCUGGCAGGGGCCCGUGCCCAUUCGGGCGGAGACGGAGGCGGCGCCGGAGGCCACCGGGCUCGGCGAGUGCUACCUCGGUCAAGGCUAUGGCUCCGCGGCUGCAGCUGGAGAAGGCGGCCUGGCGCUGGGCGGAGACGGUGCGGCCCGAGGAGGUGUCGCAGGAGCACAUCGAGACCGCCUACCGCAUCUGGCUGGAGCCUUGUAUCCGAGGCGUGUGCAGAAGAAACUGCAGAGGAAACCCGAAUUGCUUGGUUGGCAUUGGCGAGCACAUUUGGUUAGGAGAGAUAGAUGAGAAUAGUUUUCAUAGCAUUGAUGAUCCCAACUGUGAGAGGAGGAAAAAGAAUUCCUUUGUGGGCUUGACUAACCUGGGAGCCACCUGCUACGUCAACACCUUUCUCCAGGUGUGGUUCCUCAACUUGGAGCUUCGGCAGGCGCUGUACUUAUGCCCCAGCACCUGCAGUGAUUACACGAAGGGAGAUGGGAUCCAUGGGGGAAAAGAUUAUGAGCCUCAGACAAUUUGUGAGCAUCUUCAGUACUUGUUUGCUUUGUUGCAAAACAGUAACAGACGAUACAUCGAUCCUUCAGGAUUUGUUAAAGCCUUGGGCUUAGAUACUGGGCAGCAGCAGGAUGCACAAGAGUUUUCCAAGCUCUUUAUGUCGCUGUUGGAAGACACUUUGUCUAAACAGAAGAACCCGGAUGUUCGGAAUGUUGUGCAGCAGCAGUUCUGUGGAGAAUAUGCCUAUGUGACUGUGUGCAAUCAGUGUGGCCGAGAGUCUAAGCUUGUAUCGAAGUUCUAUGAACUGGAGUUAAACAUCCAAGGCCACAAGCAGUUAACAGACUGCAUCUCAGAGUUCCUGAAGGAAGAACGAUUAGAAGGAGACAAUCGAUACUUCUGUGAAAACUGUCAGAGCAAACAGAAUGCUACACGGAAAAUCCGGCUUCUGAGCCUCCCUUGCACUCUGAACUUGCAGCUGAUGCGUUUCGUGUUUGACAGGCAAACUGGACACAAGAAGAAGCUCAAUGCAUACAUCGGCUUCUCAGAGAGUCUAGAUAUGGAGCCUUACGUGGAGCACAAAGGCGGGUCCUUCGUGUACGAGCUCAGUGCCGUCCUCAUCCACAGAGGAGUCAGCGCCUAUUCUGGCCACUACAUCGCACACGUGAAAGACCCUCAGUCUGGAGAAUGGUACAAGUUCAAUGACGAGGACAUAGAGAAGAUGGAGGGCAAGAAGCUACAGCUAGGGAUUGAGGAAGAUCUAGCAGAACCUUCUAAAUCCCAGACCCGUAAACCCAAGUGUGGCAAAGGAACUCACUGCUCCCGAAAUGCAUACAUGCUGGUUUAUAGGCUGCAAGCCCAGGAAAAGAACCACACAAUGGUUCAAGUCCCAGCCUUUCUUCAAGAGCUGGUAGAUCGUGAUAAUUCCAAAUUCGAGGAGUGGUGUGUAGAAAUGGCCGAGAUGCGCAAGCAGAGUGUGGACAAAGGCAAAGCGAAGCACGAGGAGGUGAAGGAGCUGUACCAAAGGUUGCCUGCUGGAGCUGGUCUGUGAGAUAUUCCAGGACGACACUAUUGCCAUUGAAUGCCUGGGGUUUUGUUCUGUGGUGUUUUUAUCUUUACCUGUUGCAAAAAUGUAUAUGAAAAACCCAUUUCCUCCUCUAAGAGGCCAGCUUAUUCUAAAAUCAUUAUGCUAAGUAGGCAUAGAGUAUCCCAUAUACUUCGAAAAGGACCUUUUCAAAGUGGGAGGCUGUUAGAGAAUGAAAUCCUAAGUCAGCACUCUGCACUCAUGACCUGUGAAGACUUUUACUGUGGGCUGGUGUGGCAGCUUAGGGAAAAAGUGCUUGCCACCAAGCCUGCCAACCUUGCGUCUGACUUUCAGGACACAUGGUGGAGGAGAGCUGACCCCUCCAGGCCGCUCUCCGACCUUUGCUGGUGUGCUUCCCCUCACCACACACACACACAGAACAUAAGGAAAAAGGACAUUUUUACUGCCAGAUGUGGUGGUCUUUAAUCCCCACGGAGGCUGGCAGAUCUCUCUGAGCUAUAGGCAAGCCUGGUCUACAUAACAAAUCCCAGGCUAGCCAUGGCUAUGUAAUUAAGCCUUGUCUCUCUUUUUUUUUUUUCCUUCUGUGAGAUACAAAAUGUUUCUAAAGAUCUGAUGGGAUUGCUGUGGCUCUUUUUUAAAAGCACUUUGUUCCCUAAGAGUGGCAUAUAUGUGUACAAUUUUUAAAAAAAGAUUGAUUUAUUUAUUUUAUGUAUAUGAGUACACUGUAGCUGUACAGAUGGUUGUGAGCCUUCAUGUGGCACUUCUGCUCGCUCCAGAAGAGGGCGUCAGAUCUCAUUACGAGUGGUUGUGAGCCACCAUGUGGUUGCUGGGAUUUGAACUCAGGACCUUCGGAAGAGCAGUUGGUGCUCUUAUCACUGAACCAUCUCACAAGCCCCAUGUGUACAGUUUUUAAUAUGAAAUGUUAAGCUAAGAGUAGGAAUCUUUCUAGCUUACCUCUGGCUUAGACUUUCCACAUAACCUGUUGUUCUUUUUGUGUGUUAUUUGAAUUUAUCUUGUGCCUUCAGAGGCUGCAGUUUGUUUGACAGAGCCAACCAUACUCCUUCCUAAGGAAGAGAACAAUGAAUGUGUCAGAACUUAAGAACAUAAGUGUUCAAGCAGAAUUGUACUGAGGUUUUUUUUUUGUUGUUGUUGUUGCCAUUCCUAGAAUAGUUUUAUAUCAAAGCUAACUUUCAGUCAGUAGGUCUAUAUGAAAAGUCUCUAGGUGUUCUCUCUGGUGACUGGUCCAGCUCAAGGACAGGGCAUAUUUCUCAUACAGAUAGGCCCUGGUUUCUACCCCAGCACCCAAAGGGGUGGGGGGGGGGAGUAAUUCCAAACUGCUGCUUAAUUUGACUCGGUUCCUUUGUGACUUAGUUGCUUCUUUUUUUUUUUUUAAAGAUGUAUUUAUUUAUUAUAUGUAAGUACACUGUAGCUGUCUUUAGACACUCCAGAAGAGGGGGGUCAGAUCUUGUUACAGAUGGUUGUGAGCCACCAUGUGGUUGCUGGGAUUUGAACUCCGGACCUUCGGAAGAGCAGUCGGGUGCUCUUACCCACUGAGCCAUCUCACCAGCCCCCGACUUAGUUGCUUCUUCUUGUACUGUGUUUAAGUGCUAGAAGAGUCACUGACCUGUGCUUCCUAGGAAGUGACCCCAGGGGGCAUAUCACUCAGCUCACGGGCCUCUUUAAAGGAGCUGGCCCUCCUUUCUGUUCUCCCAACCAGAGUCAGUUUCUGUCCUGCACACAAGGAGAAGGACUUCUGCCCCGAGACAGCGGCAUGAGGCAGUGAAGGAGAAGCGAGUGCUGGGAUCUGGAGAGGCCUUGGUCAUGAGCCACUCUUCAUGGUGCCAUGAUCUAUCUCCUCUAUACCUUGGCCAGUCAGGAGUCUCAUGUAGCAGAGAUUCCUUGUUCUAAAGCCAGCAUGGUUUAUAUUGCUUUGGUUUGCAAAUCUUAGCCUUUGAACAUUCUGUUGAAAGGCCACCUGCCCUAGAAAUCCAAGCCUCUCCAGAAACUCCAACUCUUUUGCCUGAGUUAUUUACACUCAAAAGUGCUUGACUUCUAGAUAAAAGGUUAUAUUUUUCGUGCUGUUACUAUUCAAGACUCUUUGUUGUGUUCAAAAUUUACUGGGUUUUAUUUUUAGUUUUUGAACCUUGCUUUAAGCUCACUUAUGAUUUUUGGCUUUUUUCAAGAUGGUCUUAACUCUGUAGCUCAGAGUGGCCUCAAGUUCAUGGCAAUCCUCCUGCCUCAUCCGCCUUGGUGCUAGGAUUAGAGGAGAGUCCUAGACCCUGAGAGACCCAUUACCACAGCUAACACUUCCUCUCCCGACCCUAGCACACUGACUCAAAAGCUGGAAACUUAUUGGGUAAGGAUAAGCAGGAUGUUAGAGCAGGACUCAGGGCACAGCCUCUGCUUUUUCUUGCUGUUCUUAACUUUGAAGUGACCCCCCUCGCCCCAUAAUCCUUACAUCAAUUCAUAAUCAUUUAAAAUCUAAAACAGCAAACAAACUUCAUUUGGAAGUUUUCAGUGGGAUUCUAGUAAUGGAUUAGGCAGUUUGACUCGGUUGGACCCACCUGUCUUUGAGUCCCAGUAUGGACCCCUCCUGAUAGUGGUUAGGUUCUUUUUGUCUUUUGGGACAAGGUCUCACCCUAACUCAAACUGGUCUGUAACUCACCAUGUAGCCUCUGACAGUCUCAAACAUAGUGAGCCUCUAGCUUCAGUCCCCUGAGCUGAGCAUCUUAAAAUAGCCAAGUUCAUUUGGUUUAUUAUUAUUAUCAUCACCAUCAUCAUCAUCAAUAGAAGGUAUUGUCCUCUGUUCACUUCCCCCUGAGCUGGAAAAACAGGACACCCGGAGAAUUAGUCCUUAAAUGGGACCUUGUAUCAACCUGCCUACCUUGAAAAACUUAAUAUUAAAUAUUACUCAAAACUUUACUCUUGGAUUUUGUAUCAGAAAGUAGCAGCAUCUUGGAAACUAUUUCUCUUGGAUAUGGGUCACCCUGGUACCCCAUUCUUUUGAUACCUAGCCUAAACCUGAUGAACAGCCCAAAAUUGGGUAGACAUUUUGAGUAUAAUUGAGCUAUGAUCUGAUUUGGGGGUUCAGGGCGAGACUAAUACUGUGAAUUGAACAUGGGGGCAGCACACAUUCAAAGGUAUCACUAUCCCUCUGGGCUGUGCUCACAAAGACACGUGUGUUAUAGUUUUGCUUUCUCACUUAUUUAUUGGUCAUGCUGGGAAUUUGACCCAGGGCUUCCUUGUGUUAGACAAGUAGUCUGCCAUUGAACUACAGCCCUAGCCCUUGCUGUGUUGAUAUCUUGUACGAUGCCCUGACAUUUUACCUGUUCCAUGUCUUAUGGUCUCCUCUUAUAUAUAUAUAUUGUUUGGAUGUAUAAUUAACUUUUCUAUAUCUCUUUUCUUCCAAAAAGCUCAAAAUGCUUCACAUAUCUUAUCUUUUACACUCAGCAACAUCUCUGUGAGGUAGGUAGAAGGCAGGUAUUAUUACCUUCAUUUUGCAAAUUACAGAUCUGAAGCAUAGAGAGUUUGAGGGACUUGCUCACGCUCAGGUUGGAUUAGACAUUGGUCUUACCUCGUCUGUAACUACUGUGCGCUGAUCAGAUGGCUAUCCAGUUUCAGUGCAAAAAUGCAUAUGACACUUCCAAUUUUUUGUUAUUGUUGUCAAAACAUUGAAAUGUUUUACACUAAAAUUCAGUGGGAGCUAGCUUUCUGUAUGAGACUCUGGAGAGAGUAAAGCUGCUCGGAGCGAGCUUUGCAGCAAGCUCUGCCCUCACAUCUCGCCAGAAGUAGCACUCAGUACAGAUUCAUGAAAUCAACCUCUGUAUGUUUUCUCCUAUGUUUUAUGCUGGGACUCACUGGAGAUUUUGUAAGUAAUCAAAGCUGUCCCUUUAUUUUUAGCUUUGCCUUUUGUGGAAAUUUGAGACUCCCUCUCCCCAAAUUAAAAUUCACUUUGAGAUAGCUGAUGUUCUUAAUUUCUGAACUUCAGAUUUAUUAUUAAUUCUGUUCUAGUGUACUACAUCCUAGAACUCAUCUUAAAUAUGUUAUUUUCUUGAAAUAAAUAAUGAAAUGAAAGAUCAUAAAGAUUUUGGGAAAGUCAUACUUUUCCUUAAUCAGCCCCAGCUUCCCCUUGGAUGCAGGAAAGUUGAGUGUUGGAGUGAGUGUGAAGUGUGGUCCUAGCUGCUCAUUUUAGUUUUCAGAUGUGUAUCACAUACUCCCGAGAAGUGGUGAUCUUUCCGUUCAGCAUACGGUGUCCUCAUGGAAGCUCUGCUGUGCUCUCAAGCAAGGCACUUCUUUCUCUCUGUGGAUGCCUCUUGUAGAAUGUGGCUAAUAAUACCCGCCGAUCCCAUAGGGCUCUGCAGAUGUGUUUCCACGCACAACUGGGCCUCACAGGAGUGCUAGCUGACACAUCAGACACCUCCCAGCAUGUCUUCUGAUCCUGCUGACUUUGAACAAAGCGUGGACUGUCUUUUGAGGACAAUGCCUUGUAUCAGUCAGUCAGUCAGUCAAAACCUGUAGUUACAUGGUCUGUUCCCAUUCCUUUCUCCCCCAGAGCCCUAUGAGUUUGUCUCUCUUGAAUGGCUGCAGAAGUGGUUGGACGAGUCAACACCCACCAAACCGAUUGAUAAUAAUGCUUGCCUGUGUUCCCACGACAAGCUUCAUCCUGAUAAAAUAUCAAUUAUGAAGAGAAUAUCGGAAUAUGCGGCUAACAUUUUCUAUAGUCGAUAUGGAGGAGGUCCAAGACUAACUGUGAAAGCCCUUUGUAAGGACUGCGUCGUGGAACGCUGCCGUGUCCUGCGCCUGAAGAAUCAGCUGAAUGAAGAUUACAAAGCUGUCAACAAUUUGCUGAAAUCGACAAUGAAGGGCAGUGAUGGAUUUUGGGUAGGAAAGUCUUCCUUGCGUAGCUGGCGCCAGCUGGCUCUUGAACAACUAGAUGAGCAAGAUGGUGAGGCGGAGCAAAGCAACGGGAAGAUAAACGGGAGCACCUUCAAUAAAGAUGAAUCAAAGGAAGAAAAGAAAGAAGAGGAGGAGGAAUUAAAUUUUAAUGAAGACAUUCUGUGUCCUCAUGGAGAGUUAAGCAUAUCUGAAAAUGAAAGAAGGCUGGUUUCUCAGGAGGCUUGGAGCAAGCUGCAGCAGUACUUCCCAAAGGCUCCCGAGUUCCCAAGUUACAGAGAGUGCUGCUCGCAGUGCAAGAUACUAGAACGAGAAGGUGAAGAAAACGAAGCCUUGCAUAAGAUGAUAGCAAACGAGCAGAAGACCUCACUUCCAAACUUGUUCCAGGACAAAAACAGACCAUGUCUCAGUAACUGGCCAGAGGACACGGAUGCUCUCUAUAUUGUGUCGCACUUCUUUUUAGAUGAAUGGCGGAAAUUUGUUAGCACUCAAGAGGCAGAGGCAGGUGGAUCUCUGUGAGUUCGAGGACAGUCUGGUCUACAUAGUGAGCUUCAGGACAGCCAAAGCCACACACAGAAAAGCCUGCAAGGUCUGCUCCUGUGUCGUCAAUUGGGAAUGCUGCCCUUCUGUGUCCACAUGGAGGACUCAUGUUUACAUUUCCUUCCCUCACCAAAGAAGACUCGAAACUCUCUCAUAUGGCCCAGCGAAUGGCAAAUGAUUCAAAAGCUCUUUGUUGUGGAUAAAGUAAUUAAAAUCACAAGAAUUGAAGUGGGAGACGUGAAUCCUUCUCAAACACAGUAUAUUUCUGAACCUAGUCUCUGUCCAGAUUGCAGAGAAGGUCUGCUGUGCCAGCAGCAGAGGGACCUUCGAGAGUAUACCCAAGCCACCAUCUAUGUCCACAAGGUUGUGGAUAACAAAAAGGUGAUGAAGGACUCGGCCCCCGAGUUGAAUGUGAGUAGUUCUGAGACGGAAGAAGACAAGGAGGAGGCUAAGCCAGAUGGGGAGAAGGAUCCUGACUUUAAUCAAAGCAAUGGAAGUACCAAGCGACAGAAGACAUCCCAACAGGGCUAUGUGGCCUACCAGAAGCAGGUCAUCCGGAGGAGCACGAGGCACAGGAAGGUUCGGGGAGAGAAGGCACUGUUGGUGUCUGCCAACCAGACGUUAAAAGAAUUGAAGAUUCAGAUCAUGCACGCAUUUUCAGUUGCUCCAUUUGACCAGAAUUUGUCAAUUGAUGGAAAGAUUUUAAACGACGACUGUGCCACCCUUGGUACCCUCGGCGUCAUUCCUGAGUCUGUCAUUUUGUUAAAGGCUGAUGAACCAAUUGCAGACUACGCUGCAAUGGAUGAUGUCAUGCAAGUUUGUAUGCCGGAAGAGGGCUUUAAAGGUACGGGCCUGCUCGGACAUUAAUCUUUGACUACUCGCUGACUGCCAAGGAGUGACCAGAAAGGAAGACGAAAUUGACAUGUUUGGGCAUUAAAGAAAACGUGGUUUUAAGAAUGAAACUCUUACCUGGCUCUUCCAAAAGACAAAAAUCCAUUCAAAAGAGACUGUCCCACUUGCCUUAUGUCAAAUAAAGCAGAUUGCACUGAUGGGCAUCAGACUUGAAGGACGUGUUUCAGAUUUUCUAUUUAAGGUGGGAGGGAGAGGGCGAGCGAGGACUGAGCAGGCAGAGCAAGAGUAGGAGUGAAUCAUGUUUACACUGAGGGAGUGAAGCCCUGGUCAGUCCACACAGAUGCCCUGCUCACUAGCGGAUCUGUGUCCCAGGACAUGGGCUAGCAUCCUGCUCCAAACUCCAAGUGACCGUCUAGAGACAAGAUCUGCUAACCCAGCCUUUAUUUAACCUAUACUCAUCUUUCAAUAAAGCAUGAACGUGAAGGACUUGCCAACGAGGAACGUGUCUUCAGAGCACCACGCCUGCAGGGCAGCCACAGCCCUGCCACCUCCCUGCUCACUGUCUGUCAGUGCUGAGUAGUAGGGUCAAGCCAGUGACUGUCUCAGUUUUCCUCCAUCAUCUCAGAGGGAUAGGAAAUGUUCAGUGUUCGGUGGCAGCAAAGAGAGUAUCCCUGAACGUUUGAAAAGCCGAACCGGAGCUCCGUAGGAUAGCACGGGUUUUCAUAGACAGCCCUCCCGCUCUCCAGUUCUGCCUUCCUCGGACCUCACUGCUUUUUGAAAACCCUUAAGACUAUACAGGGUGUGCUGCCUCACCAACUCAGGAUCACUGUUGACGGUAGUUUAAGCAGCAUCAGGAUCUGCUCGAACAGAAAAAGGUUUUAGGGGAGCACGGACGGGGCUGGGCAGCGAUUUGCAUUUUCUCUAUCAAGUGGAUUGUUGGUAUGUUUGUGGCCCAGUUGCUGAUACAGAUUUUUUUUUUUUUUUAAAAACCUAGUUGGUUGAAAAACUUUAAAUGAUGUAUACAUGCUGAUCUCAACAUUGGCAGCAUCUUUUGGUAGCUUUCUGCUGCUGGGUAGAACUCCCAACAUGGCAUUUAUGUUUGCAAUGAAGAAAGAGUGUUCUGAGAUGGUGAGAAGCGCGGGGCAGAGCCAGGAGAGCUGCACACCUACCUUCCUGGAAGACUGACUUCUCAAGGAGCUCCUGCCUUUGGGGACACAGGGACUCACGGGACCCUGGCUUUCAGAUCUGUCCUUUACCGAGCACCACAGAAAUGGGACCAAGCCUCACUCACCAAGAGCCCACUCUUUCCCAAGGCCAAGACAUUUGAAAGUCACCAGAUAUUUGACAAAUGGUCUUUACUGUCCUUAGAAAGAAACCCAGAGUUUGUGGCUUUGUAACAAAGCAUUGGCAGGGCCUCAGCACCCCUGAAAGGUGGUGGGGCUAGGUGGCAAGAAGCAGCUGUUCCUCCCCCUUUCUCUUGGCAUUGGCUGUGCACAAGCCAGAAGUUAGCACUGUGAGGUUGGUUGCAUAGGCAUCCUUUGUUUCCUUUACGAAAUGUUAGCAAGGUAAUAGCCAUUAACUCCUGUCAGGCAAAUACAGUGGGGCAGACCCAGUUCCAGCGAGCUGAAGUGUGCUGCUUCCGCCUCACAGCCGGUGCCCGCCACUGCAGAGCCUUACUGGAGCUUCAGCUCAGACCCCCGCACCCACUGAACAAGGCCACUCCCGAAAAGCUUGGGAUCCCUGGGCUGCGGCUUCCUCACAGCUUGAAGCAGACAUAUUUCAAAGAGUCUGCAUUUGGACUUACCAGCUGCCAUGUUCCUGCUCACUAAUCCAUGCUGUUUGGUUGUCCUCUGAGCUGGGGUGGCUGUAUACAGCACAGGCUAGCUAUUCUGCUGGGUUCUAAAGCUACAUUCAGGAACCACAUUAAACCAGAUUAUGAAUCUCCAGGCUUCUUUAUGUUUCCUUUUUCUUUCCCAGGCAGGGUUUCCUGUAACCCAGGCUGGCCUUGGACUCACUAUGUAACCAGGAUAACCUUAACUUCUGAUCUUCCUACUUCCUCCUCCCAGGUGCUGGGAUUGCAGGCAUGUGGCCACUGUGACAGGUUUCCUGUGCUGUGCCGAGGCCCGGGCCCAGCGCCUCGUGCACACUAGAGAAAAUUCUGCAUACUGACCCACAUCCCCAGCUCUACCCGUGUAUAUUUCUAGUCAUUCUUUAAACCCAAGCAAAUGUGUAGAGUCUCCUAUGCUGAGAUGUUUUUUGCCACUACCAGACAUGUAGGCUAUCAUUUGACGUCUUUAUUCCCUGAGAGAAAACUUCUUUUCUGUAUUUAUGAACUUUAUUAUUGAGAAUCACUGUUAACCUUUCUGCCAAAUUAAAGACACUUGUGUCUCUGUUUCCACGGA